rnacentral:lncRNA from 1 species
AGGAUGAGACAACCUAGAGAGAUUGGACAUCUCUAUCAAAUUUGUCCAUACAAUGUGCAAAUUAAAACCUGCUUUUAUUUUCCUCCUUAAUUUGGUCCCAAAAAACUAGGAAUUUAAACCUUGUCAUGUCAAGUUAGGUUUAGUACAAUGGCAUGGGUGGUAGAUGAUGGAAGGGGAGAUAUUUAUGCCUAUGAAUUUAGACCUUUCAACCUUUAUCAAUUUUGGAUUAUUAAUUCUUUUUUUUUUAUUUCCUACACAAUUGUUUGGUUGUAAUCCACAGUUUAUGUAUUCAAGUCCAAAAAAGGGGCAUUUUUUUUCCCUUUAUAAUCAAUGAGUUAGUUUCAAAAUAAGUAUUGGUGCCCUUUUUCUUGUUUUUAAUUUUUCCUACUAAGUUGGCUUUAAUCACUUUCAAAUUUUCCAAAAACUUUGAUUGUUAAUCAUUUCUCUUGAUUUCGAACGGUUCUCACCUAUUUGAAAAGAAGAUGAUGAUGUUAAUAGGUUCAAAAUUACUAAUAACAUAUGCGUACAUUGAAUCUGAUUGUUAUUUGCCAAGUAAAAGCGAUCNGUAGAAAAGUUUCGAACUUUACUUUUCACGGUAGAUAUUUAAUUAGAGAGAAUUGAAGAGUUUUUAGAAAAAAAGAUUUCACGGUAGAUAUUUAAUUAAAUCUUUAAUGUUCAUUUUCAACCGUUAAAAUUGAAAAUUGUCCGUUAAAUUUCUGUCCAAUGAAAUUGUGCGAGGUUGCAUCAUCACAUCCACGGGCGACAAAAAAUUUUAGCGUGGUGUCCCUAACAAAUCAAAUAUUUUUUUUAAAAUUUAAAAAAUAUUUUUAUUGUACUGUUUUUAAAUAAAGAGAUAUAAUUGACUUGUUAUUGAUGAUAUGCUGCAAUUGUGACACAAUAGAUUUUCUCCCUCGUGACACACGUCGGAGAAAAAUCCACGUGGCUGUGACGUUAUACACUGUGGGGGACCCACUAUAAUUAUAAUUUAAUAAAUGUAGUUUUUAAAAUUAUUAAAAUAUUAUUUAAAAAACCAACAUUGGUAAUUACUGAGAUGUCAAUUUCCAGAAGAUAAUUCAGUCACUAAAUCCACAAAUACAAAAAUGGACUCAUGAUUAAUAUUUCGAAAGAUAUUGUUCAACAAAAUAAAAAAAGGCUUGUCUUGGCACAGAACAAUGAAAGCGCUCCUUAAUACAAAUAUCAGCACAUUAAUAAUAUAUAAAAAUAAUAUGUUUUAAAAAAUAAAGUAUUAUUCUUCUUUGUUUCUAAAUACGUAUAUCAGUACAUUAAUAAUUUAUAAAAAUAAUAUUUCAAGGAACAAGGAAUCUAGAGUAUUACUCCUGUUUUUCUCCGAAUAUUUAUGAUGAGUUCGGUCAAGAAUAUUGAAGAUUAUUAGAAGGCUAAACUACAGAAAAUACUCUUGUAAAUAUUGAUCUUUUAAUUUUUCCUUUUUUACUUUAUCUAUAUUUUACCACCUGAAAAUUUCAAAGUUGAUGUAGAAAACACUCUUGUAAAUACCGUUAAUUUUUCCUUUUUGACUUUAUCUAUAUUUUACCACCUGAAAAUAUCAAAUUGAUGCAGAAAAUACUCUUGUAAAUAUCGAUCUUUUAAUUUUUCCUUUUCGACUUUAUCGAUAUUUUACGCGCCCCCCCCCCCCUCAGGGUUUCAUCACUUUCCAUCCAUUUCUUAUAAUUUAUACUGAAAAUACUCUUAAAAAUUAACAUAAAUAUAUUAAAAUAUUAUUAUUUUUUCUUUAUAGAGCAAGUAAGGAUAAUUUGAUCAUUUCGCCCUCUCUUUUAACACCAUAACCCCCUAAUAAUAUUUAGAAAAUUUUUAGAAGGCAAAAUAUAAAAUUUUUAAAAGUCAAGAACAAAAAGUAAAAAAAUAUAUAUUUAUAGCAGGUUUUCUGGAUUUCAGCAUUAUUAGAAAUACAACAAUUUAAGAGGAAAUUGGUAUCUUCUAAGAAUAAUUCAAUUCCAAAGUUGGAUGUUGGUAUCUCAUUGUAUGUGGUUGUAAAUAGAACCAAGGAUGAGACAACUUAGGGGCCGUUUGGUUGGAUGUAGUUGCAAAAACAGUGUAGUUGGAAAUAUAUACAGUUGCAAAUGCUGCAGUUAUAACUACACCUAGUCUGUUUGGUUUUACGCAGUUGCAACUGCUGCAGUUACAUUUCUUCUGUUUGGUAAUAUGAAGCUGAUAGUUGUAUUUAUGAAUUUUGUCACCUCUUCAGAUAGAGUGGUAAGGUUACCUACACUAAACAUAAAAUAAUUAUAUAAAUUUAUUAAUUAUUUAAAUUUACUAUUUAUAAAUAAAUAAGUAGAUAUAUAUAAUAUUUUUAUAUUUUUCAAUAAUUCUUCAACUUAUUAAUCGACACAUUUAAAAUUUUUAAUUUAUUUAAUUUUAAUAUGUAAAUCAAACUUUAAAAAUUUAAACGAUUCUCUCAUUUUUUUUAUCAAAUUUAAUAAUUAUAAUUAAUUAAAACUUAUUAAAUUAACAUACACGAUCACAUUCUAUAAAAAUUUAGAAAAAAAAACUAUAUUUAUAUUUUAAAUAAAAUAAAUUUAAA